GCAAAACGCGAAGAACCUUACCUGGGUUUGACAUACACGGGAAGCCUGCAGAGAUGUGGGUCUCUUUGAUACUCGUGUACAGGUGGUGCAUGGCUGUCGUCAGCUCGUGUCGUGAGAUGUUGGGUUAAGUCCCGCAACGAGCGCAACCCUCGUCCUAUGUUGCCAGCGGGUUAUGCCGGGGACUCAUAGGAGACUGCCGGGGUCAACUCGGAGGAAGGUGGGGAUGACGUCAAGUCAUCAUGCCCCUUAUGUCCAGGGCUUCACGCAUGCUACAAUGGCCGGUACAAAGGGCUGCGAUGCUGUAAGGCGGAGCGAAUCCCAAAAAGCCGGUCUCAGUUCGGAUUGAGGUCUGCAACUCGACCCCAUGAAGUCGGAGUCGCUAGUAAUCGCAGAUCAGCAACGCUGCGGUGAAUACGUUCCCGGGUCUUGUACACACCG
rnacentral:rRNA from 1 species